GUCAACGUUUUGUUUCUUUACUUUUUUU
rnacentral:sRNA from 1 species